UGAGGAACAUGACCUUCGGCGGGGGAUAGCCGGCCCAACGGCCGGGUAAUACCGCGUACGACCACAUGGGGACAUCCCUGAGUGGUGAAAGCAGCAAUGCGCCGAUGGAGUGCCUCGUGGCCUAUCAGCUAGUUGGUGAGGUAACGCUCACCAAGGCGACGACGGGUAGCUGGUCUGAGAGGAUGGCCAGCCACAGUUGGGACUGAGACACGGCCCAGACCUCGUACGGGGAG
rnacentral:rRNA from 1 species